rfam:Bacillus sp. FJAT-27986 scaffolf3, whole genome shotgun sequence.
CUUUAAGGAACAAAGGCUAAGAGCGCCACAUCGUGUGGCAACGCCUUCGUGACCUACGUCCUGUAGC